rnacentral:rRNA from 1 species
AGCGAACGCUGGCGGCAGGCUUAACACAUGCAAGUCGAACGGGCAUCUUCGGAUGUCAGUGGCAGACGGGUGAGUAACACGUGGGAACGUACCCUUCGGUUCGGAAUAACUCAGGGAAACUUGAGCUAAUACCGGAUACGCCCUUUUGGGGAAAGGUUUACUGCCGAAGGAUCGGCCCGCGUCUGAUUAGCUUGUUGGUGGGGUAACGGCCUACCAAGGCGACGAUCAGUAGCUGGUCUGAGAGGAUGAUCAGCCACACUGGGACUGAGACACGGCCCAGACUCCUACGGGAGGCAGCAGUGGGGAAUAUUGGACAAUGGGCGCAAGCCUGAUCCAGCCAUGCCGCGUGAGUGAUGAAGGCCUUAGGGUUGUAAAGCUCUUUUGUCUGGGACGAUAAUGACGGUACCGGAAGAAUAAGCCCCGGCUAACUUCGUG